AAGAGUUUUACCUGUGUGCGGAUUGUAUAUUUUAUAGAUGUGUGGACUGUCAGUUUGUUCUGCGUGCGGUGAAGUUCGUGUGUAAUCGUUGUUGGUUAUUCGUCCUUGUGUAUUGUUUGAAUACAGCACCUAAAUAUGAAUAAUACUCCAGACUCGGAAGGAAAUGGUUGCGGCAGAGGCAGAGGUCGUGGCCAUGUAGACUGGUCCAAACCAUUACGCCGCCCACAUCAGAGCACAAUUACUCCAGGGAAAAUACAGGAGGGACCAACAACAUAUGCUGAUUGUGCUGAGGCAGCUGGAUUGCCUGGAAAUUCUGAACAGGUCACUGGAGCAGGACUUACAGUCCAAGAUCCUCAGUGUGAAAGUCUUGAAAAAGAUGUACUAUGCUUCAUGUCUAAUUUUAUAAUGGAGGUAACUAAUUCACCAGGUAGUUUUGAAUUUGAGUCGGAGGUGGCACUGAGAGAUUUAAAUAACUGGGCAACAAAUGCAGCAAUUACACAAAAAGUAUCUAUGAUGAUUGUUGAAGAGUCCAUCACACAACCAAAUUUUAGGUACAGUGGUGCAAGGCUUUGCAGCACAUUGAUCAAAAAAUGUCAAGAUAUGCAACUAGAUACGUUUUGGGACAGUUUAAAUUCUGAGUUGAAAAAAGAAAGAGAAAAAGCCACUGAUCUGCUUCAUGAAAAUCCAGAGAGACUUCGUGGUUUCCUGAUGUUUUUGGCUGAGCUCUUUGUGCAGCUUGAAGGGGAAACUUUUCUUUGCACUGAAAUUUGUUACAUUAUAGAUCUUCUGCUAUUCAAUGAGAUGCCGGAAAAUGUGAAGCGUGUAUGCCAGACGUUAAAACUGGCUGGCAGAUACAUAGAUUCGAUGGAUACUGUUGCAAUGGAUAGAAUCAUGAAUAAACUUUGUAAAUUAACAAAUAAAGCCACAUGUGAUAAAAGUUUAUCAUGUCAGAUAAUGUCUGUGGCAGAACUCCGCAGGGCAAGUUGGGGCAGUAAUGUGAAUGAAGCACCAAACCAAAAUUCAGAGCCCUCAGUGGUUAAUGUCGGAAGUGAUCCAAUUUUUUAUGGUCCUGAUGGCAGUAUUCUGUCUGCAGAGGAGAGUAAAUUCCUUGAAGAGAAUUACGAAGAAGUAGGAACAGCUGGUGAAGAUGAUAUGGUAAUUUGGGAUUAUGAGGAUCCAAUGAAUGGACUAGAUGAUGCAUUUGAGGAAUUCCUGAGGUUCUCAAAACAGCAGUAAAAUUAUGUGAGCUGAAAUCUUGUGACUUGUGACAACUGAAGUUAUGAUGAUGAGAGCAGUAGUGGGAAUAGCUUGUGCUGUGAAAAUCUCAUCACAAAAACAGUAAUUCUUAAGAUAUAGAACAUCAUCGACAUCAAUGCCACCGAAGACUGUCGACACUAAUGUCAACAUCUGACAUUAGACAACUAGCAUUUUUUUCUUGACAGUUUUAUACAUGCAGAAGGCUUGUGAAUUAUGUUUUCAGAUGAAGAUUAUGAAUACAGUAAACUCUGGAUUAUGUAAAUGGUGAGAAGGUGAUGAAAAUAGCACAAAGGCAAGAAACUGGAAAUGAGAAAUACUGUCUAUAUAAAAAUGUUUUGCAUUUUUGUUAGUAUAAAUUGCAAGGUCUUUAAACUUUCAGAAAAUAGAAUUUGUUUGCUUUCAGUAGUUCCUGGUUUACUACAAAAACUGCAAAUAAUACUCAAAUACUUUCACUGACUGGGGGCUUAAAAAAUCAAAUCAAAUCAAGGAGAUCCAUUUCAAAAUGAGGAAUUACAAGAAUCUCAACAGAAGUUUGAGAAGAAAUGGGGACCAAAGUUAUAAAAUUCAGAUUUUACUGUAUUUUCCUUUAUAUUAGUACCUGAUUUUUUUAAUUUAUACGAGUUCUCCAGCAAGGUGUGUGUGUGUGUGUGUGUGUGUGUGUGUUUGUUUGUUUUGUAGUAAUUAUGCCUAUUGUUUUCAUUUCAUACUAAGUUAUUUGUAAUAGUAUUUCAAAACAGCAUUUAUUAUAAAUGAAUUAUGUUUUCAUUUUUUAUUGUUGCUUUUCUUUUACUGUUUCCAAGAUUGGUGAAGUGCUAUACAAACCCUGAAAUGUACUUAUUUUGUCUUUGUGUUUCUCUCUCUCUCUCUCUCUCUCUCUCUCUCUCUCUGUGUGUGUGUGUGUGUGUGUGUGUGUGUGUGUGUGUGUGUUUGGUGAAGUGCUAUACAAACCCUGAAAUGUACUUAUUUUGUCUUUGUUUUUGUUUGUUUGUUUGUGUGUGUGUGUGUGUGUGUGUGUGUGUGUGUGUGUGUGUGUGUGUGUCUGUCUGUCAGUUUUUAUAUCUAUUUUGGAAUAAUUACUACUAGUCAAUGCAAUUGGUGAUGAAAAUCAUGUGAGAUUUUACUGUCAGUCAGUUUUGUCUUUCACACACCAAGAUCUUUUAGCUGUGUAGCAAAGAUUUCAUUUUUACUGCUGGUGAUUAGUGUAGUGUAAAUGUGAAUCAUCUGUUGCUUUCAAAAAUUCAAAAAAAUAUUUAUUUUCAUAAACUUGUUAAUAAAUGAUAGUUCAUCCAGUGAAAUCUAUAAGAAACGCAUGCACUAAAUGAAAAUCGCACAGUAAUUUAUAAAAUUGCAAAUGAUAUUGAGAGAUUUUAUUGUUGUAUUCUUGUUUUUCUUGUUCUGCUGUUUUACUGGUUGUGAUGAAAACUGUCUUCAGGUAGGUACAUUGGACUGUGUAACAAUGAAUUAUGUUCAGUUAAGUCUGAUUUGUUGAGGUAAUGCUAAGAGUGAUUCAGCCUUUGAAAAUUGUUUGAUCUAUCAUUGUUAAGAAUUUUUUGUUUAUAAUAUGUGUAGUGGUAAAUGUAGUUGUGUAAAUAGUAUUAUCAAUUCUUUUGUGGAUGUCGGUACACUCAUAAAUGUUUAUAACAAAAUAUGUAUUUUCUUAAAUAAAAAAAAAGUAAUGUUGGAUGUAAAAGUGUGCAAUGUGUAGAAGAAAUCUGUGUUCAGUGGAUUAUAGAAACUUCUGGUAUUGUAUCAAGAGAUUAAAAAUUUAAAGAACGUUCACAUAUCGACAAUUUGUAAUUGAGUUAUUGAUGUUUUUAUUUAUAAAUAAAGGUACUAUUUUCCAAUCGGU